UCUCCACCAUCCUCUGGUACUCCACUCUGGCCAAGAAGCCUCUGCACCUGGCCUGGGUUCGGGUAAUCAGCUGGGCCAGCUUGUCAUCUCGCAUCUCCUCUAGAAGCCCCAGAAGACCAGCUUUGAAAAAGACCUGUGGGGGGGGAGGAUAUGCAGAUCAGAAACUGUACAUAAACUUCAAAGGGACACGGAUAGCAUCAGGUGGGCUUUAGAGACCAUUACCUUGGUGUGACCAAAUUUAUACUGGGUGUGGUCAAUGUCGAUGGACGCAAGGAGCUUCUCAGAAGCCUUCUUGCUGUCAAUGAACUGCCCUUCAGGGAUUGCACUUGCAUUUAAUACCUUGUAUCUGUUUAAGUAAAUAAUAGGGUUUUUUUUUAAGGUGGUUUAUGAUGACACUAAUAGCAGAUAAACAUUAAAUGACCUAUUUAGAAAAUUGGAGCUUUAAAAAAAAGUAUCCUCCUUUGUUCACAGGAAGGACUUCCUAUACGUAGUUGGUCAAACUAGCAUCAACUGUCUCUUUUUACCCCAUUUCACCUUUCUGCACAGCUGUAGCUUUCCUUUCUGCCUCAUCAGACCUUGUUCUCAGGAAAGGAUUCUGUGAUCUUAUUCACACCAAGAUGUAGAUGACCAAUAAAAUGUAACAUGUAACCAGCUCCCUGGAGCUGCUGCCAGCCCUUAUCCCCUUGGCCUCUUGUUUGACUCCCAAGAUGGACUUCUCUAGGGAGGAGAAAGUUGCUGAGGAGCUGGUAUUGUGAACAUUCUGGGAAACCUUGUGAAACUGGUGUGUGAGACAGAAAGAUGAAGAUAGGAAGUGACAAAAAAGGACCCACUGGGAGAUAUAUACCUGCAUGGGGGAGUUCCUAACUCAGACACCAAUAACCAUGUGACUUUGAGCAAGUAGCUUAAUCUCCUUGAGGCUCAAGUUCAUUCAUCUAUAAAAGGAGGUGUUGAUAGGACUUACCUCUACCGAUGUUUUGUAAAAUGAGAUAACCCAAACAGAUUUACACAUUAAAAAAUCAUGGUUCUCAUAAUUAUUGAAGUUAGUGUAUAUAUCUGUGGGCUAAGCCAGGAGCUUGGUAAAGCCCAUGAAAAGUCUGGAGUAUAAAAUAUGUGGUCUAGAUUAUAAAGGUGUUUUGAGGCUUAUCACUUUUCACUCUUUUUUUGUGGCAAAUCAAAAAUAACAAAUAGAGACAUAUUUUUCACUAAAUUGUUUUGCUUGCAUAAGUAUAUUUAUAUUAAACUUUAAGAUACACCGUAAUUAGGAGAGCCUGACCUCUGUUUGAAGUCUGCAUAAAGGAUUCUGCUGGGGAAUCCCUUCCUGCAGAUGCGGAUGCCUUCCAGCACUCCGUUACACCUCAGCUGGUGCAGGACAAGUUCAUGCUCCAUGGCCCCUAUAAAUAUACAUAUUUAUUCCACUGUGGAGAUCUU
rnacentral:lncRNA from 1 species